rnacentral:rRNA from 1 species
AGUCGAACGGAGAUCUUGAAUAGCUUGCUAAUUAAGAUCUUAGUGGCGGACGGGUUAGUAACACGUGAGAACCUACCCUUUAGACAGGAAUAGCCCAUGGAAACGUGGAUUAAUGCCUGAUAGUCUCUACGGAGUAAAUGGUGCCUCCGGGUAUCGCUAGAGGAUGGGCUCGCGGCCUAUCAGCUUGUUGGUGAGGUAAAGGCUCACCAAGGCGACGACGGGUAGCUGGUCUGAGAGGACGAUCAGCAACACUGGAACUGAGACACGGUCCAGACACCUACGGGUGGCAGCAGUCGAGAAUCAUUCACAAUGGAGGCAACUCUGAUGGUGCAACGCCGCGUGGAGGAUGACGGUCCUAGGAUUGUAAACUCCUGUCAUUGGGGAGUAAGACUUAAGCGUUAAGAGCG